UUGUUGGAGAGUUUGAUCCUGGCUCAGGACGAACGCUGGCGGCGUGCUUAACACAUGCAAGUCGAGCGGAAAGGCCCUUCGGGGUACUCGAGCGGCGAACGGGUGAGUAACACGUGAGCAACCUGCCCCAGGCUUUGGGAUAACCCCGGGAAACCGGGGCUAAUACCGAAUAUGACCUCCGAUCGCAUGGUCGGUGGUGGAAAGUUUUUCGGCUUGGGAUGGGCUCGCGGCCUAUCAGCUUGUUGGUGGGGUGAUGGCCUACCAAGGCGACGACGGGUAGCCGGCCUGAGAGGGCGACCGGCCACACUGGGACUGAGACACGGCCCAGACUCCUACGGGAGGCAGCAGUGGGGAAUAUUGCACAAUGGGCGGAAGCCUGAUGCAGCGACGCCGCGUGAGGGAUGACGGCCUUCGGGUUGUAAACCUCUUUCAGCAGGGACGAAGCGUAAGUGACGGUACCUGCAGAAGAAGCGCCGGCCAACUACGUGCCAGCAGCCGCGGUAAGACGUAGGGCGCGAGCGUUGUCCGGAUUUAUUGGGCGUAAAGAGCUCGUAGGCGGCUUGUCGCGUCGACCGUGAAAACCUGGGGCUCAACCCCAGGCCUGCGGUCGAUACGGGCAGGCUAGAGUUCGGUAGGGGAGACUGGAAUUCCUGGUGUAGCGGUGAAAUGCGCAGAUAUCAGGAGGAACACCGGUGGCGAAGGCGGGUCUCUGGGCCGAUACUGACGCUGAGGAGCGAAAGCG
rnacentral:rRNA from 1 species